UACGGAGGAUGCAAGCGUUAUCCGGAAUGAUUGGGCGUAAAGCGUCCGCAGGUGGCAAUGUAAGUCUGCUGUCAAAGAGCGAAGCUCAACUUCGUAAAGGCAGUGGAAACUACACGGCUAGAGUGCGUUCGGGGCAGAGGGAAUUCCUGGUGUAGCGGUGAAAUGCGUAGAGAUCAGGAAGAACACCGGUGGCGAAGGCGGGUCUCUGGGCCGAUACUGACGCUGAGGAGCGAAAGCAUGGGUAGCGAACAGG
rnacentral:rRNA from 1 species